GUGAAUCAUCAAAUUUUUGAACGCAUAUUGCACUCUCUGGUAUUCCGGGGAGCAUGCCUAUUUGAGGGUCAUUUGAAAUAAUAUAAAUUCCAAAAUUUCACCGAAUUUAAGAUGGGUUGUCCUUUUUUUAUGUUCGCCUAAAAUCCAAUACAAGAUCAUGUUCUUGGGUUGCAUGUUAGUUUCAGUUACGUCGUUGC
rnacentral:misc_RNA from 1 species